rnacentral:rRNA from 1 species
ACAUGCAAGUCGAACGAUCCGUGGUCUUCGGACCACAAUGGAUAGUGGCGCACGGGUGAGUAACGCGUGGGAAUAUGCCCUGGAGUACGGAAUAACUAAGGGAAACUUUAGCUAAUACCGUAUACGCCCCAAGGGGGGAAAGAUUUAUCGCUCCAGGAUUAGCCCGCGUCUGAUUAGCUUGUUGGUAAGGUAAUGGCUUACCAAGGCGACGAUCCAUAGCUGGUUUGAGAGGAUGAUCAGCCACACUGGGACUGAGACACGGCCCAGACUCC